rfam:Camelus ferus unplaced genomic scaffold scaffold832, whole genome shotgun sequence.
GUAGAUGUAACUCAGUGGUAGAGGGUGUGCUUAGCAGGCACGAGGUCCUGGGUUCUAUCCCCAGUACCGCCA